rnacentral:rRNA from 1 species
UCGGGAAUAUUGCGCAAUGGAGGAAACUCUGACGCAGUGACGCCGCGUGCAGGAAGAAGGUUUUCGGAUUGUAAACUGCUUUAGACAGGGAAGAAAAAAUGACAGUACCUGUAGAAUAAGCUCCGGCUAACUACGUGCCAGCAGCCGCGGUAAUACGUAGGGAGCGAGCGUUAUCCGGAUUUAUUGGGUGUAAAGGGUGCGUAGACGGGAAAUUAAGUUAGUUGUGAAAUCCCUCGGCUCAACCGAGGAACUGCAACUAAAACUGAUAUUCUUGAGUACUGGAGAGGAAAGUGGAAUUCCUAGUGUAGCGGUGAAAUGCGUAGAUAUUAGGAGGAACACCAGUGGCGAAGGCGACUUUCUGGACAGAAACUGACGUUGAGGCACGAAAGUGUGGGGAGCAAACAGGAUUAGAUACC